GGGUAGCUCAACUGGUAGAGCACCAAGAAUAAAGUCUUGCCAAAGACUUUUACAGCAAUCCAAUAUCACCUUACAAGUGACAUGGCUGUUGCGGGUUCGAGUCCCGUCCCAA
rnacentral:tRNA from 1 species